rnacentral:rRNA from 1 species
CACGUGAGGGGCGAGCGUUGUCCGGAUUCAUUGGGCGUAAAGGGCGCGCAGGCGGCCCGGAAAGUCGGAUGUGAAAACUCGGGGCUCAACCCCGAGCGUGCACCCGAUACUGCCGGGCUUGAGGCAGGUAGGGGAGAUCGGAAUUCCUGGUGUAGCGGUGAAAUGCGCAGAUAUCAGGAGGAACACCGGUGGCGAAGGCGGAUCUCUGGGCCUGUCCUGACGCUGAGGCGCGAAAGCUAGGGGAGCGAACAGG